rnacentral:rRNA from 1 species
GAUUGCCCAGUAACGGCGAGUGAAGCGGCAACAGCUCAAAUUUGAAAUCUUGGCCUUGUGCCCGAGUUGUAAUUUGUAGAGGAUGCUUUUGGCGACGCGCCUUCCGAGUUCCCUGGAACGGGACGCCAUAGAGGGUGAGAGCCCCGUCCGGUCGUGCGCCUAGCCUCUGUAAAGCUCCUUCGACGAGUCGAGUAGUUUGGGAAUGCUGCUCUAAAUGGGAGGUAUACGUCUUCUAAAGCUAAAUACCGGCCAGAGACCGAUAGCGCACAAGUAGAGUGAUCGAAAGAUGAAAAGCACUUUGAAAAGAGGGUUAAAUAGUACGUGAAAUUGCUGAAAGGGAAGCGCUUAUGACCAGACUUGGGCGCGGCGGAUCAUCCGGCGUUCUCGCCGGUGCACUCCACCGCCCCAGGCCAGCAUCAGUUCGCGCCGGGGGAUAAAGGCUUCGGGAAUGUGGCUCCUCCGGGAGUGUUAUAGCCCGUUGUGUAAUACCCUGGUGCGGACUGAGUCCGCGCUCUGCAAGGAUGCU